AGAGAAACCCUGUCUCAAAAAA
rnacentral:miRNA from 1 species